AGCCAAUCCACCACAGUCCUCGUGACGGGA
rnacentral:sRNA from 1 species